rnacentral:lncRNA from 1 species
AUCUAUAUAUUAUAUAAAAACACAGUUUUUGGCAGUUUUUUUUCCCGGCAAAAUGAGUAGUUAUUUUUUAAAAAAAUAGUUAUUGAUCACGUUGUAUAACUAAAAUUCCACUAUCAGCCCACGUUCUGCCCAUUAAUUCUUAGAACUCUGUUAUAACUUAUAAUCUAGCAUUUUCUCUACCCUUCAUACCCAUCCACUCCAAUUUUGUGUCAACUGCGUACGACAAUACAUAGUAUCAGCCAAAUGGAAUUUCAUAAAACACUCGCAAAAUCUGGAAUACCCAAGAGGUGAAUCAAAAGCAAAGAGAAGGCUAUGUGCUUAUAUGUUCUAUUCUCAGGAUGAACAAUUGGACUAAACCGCCCACUCACCUGGCAAGAAGAAGACCAACUUGGUAGGUAUGAAACAAUAGAACUUCUGAUUUCAAAUUCAAAAUUUGUUUCGUUUUUCGUUCACCAUAACUUUAUUUUGAACAGUUUAUACAAUGGAUUGAUGGUCAGGGUGUGUGGAACAAUCGAAUCUAUUCUCCAGGGAUCUUUCUUUUAAAACUCUAUCUCUCAAACCAAACAUUUGAAUGAUUUUGCAGCAAAAAUGAAUUCAGAGUCGACGUGUAUUUCAUCGGAUUAGAUAGGGAUGAAGAAGAUUACUACUACUAAGCAAUUGAUUCAGAAAAUUUGAUGGAACACUAUCUCUCUCCAUCCAUUUUUAGUAAAUAUUUCAAAUAUGCUGCAGAAAUAGGUACUCAUUUUUUUAGACCAUUUCAGAUAUCUGGUUAGUUGUAUGCUGAAAAAGAAAUCCAUGAAUUUCUCCUCACAUCUUUGGAAGAAAAACUCCAUUUUUUUUUCUACCGAAGAGUUCUAGCCUUUGUUUCCUGCAUAUCCCUCUCUGGGUGCUUGGUGAUUUGGUAGUAUUUCUCAGGGUCCUUAAAACACUUAGCAAAUAUGCAAAAGAAGGAGGGGCAAAAGUAAAACAUGGAUCUCUAUAUCUUGAGGAAGUGCUCAACCACUAACAGGUCAGAUAAAUUGGUCAAUUCUCAACUUUUAAUGGGGACAAUAGAGUGUGAGGACAAUUGGAUGAUGGGGACAAUCUCAAGUUAUUCUCUUGAAUUUAAUAUAUGUACAUUUUCUUUAUGUUUCGCCUCUUACGAUGAUAGUUUUUUUGGUCAUUUGCUGUCAUAUUGUUGGUGCGGUGAUCUAACCUAAUCUACCUUUUUCACCAUGUAUGAUUUGUUACCACCAAUGCAAUUAUUCAAAGUUAGAAUCGCAAAAAUUUAGUUUGAAAAGAAUUUAUUUUCAAAAAGAUAGUCUCCUAUAGACAAUCUUCAAGUUUUCAAUGACACUACCAAGUGCAACAAGAAUGAAGGUAAGUUCUCGAUGGUUUACAUUGGAGAUUUGACCGUUGAUUCAUUUUAAAACUAACAUUUUUUGUGAUUAGUUUAGAACUAUCAUAAACCAUGAGGUUACCAGAAGUAUUGCAGUCGCAAUGCUUUCACAUACAAGAGAGAGUAAGACUUUUGUUUUCAUUGAAUUAUAGAAUGAUGGUUGGGUUCUAAUAGUGUUGGUUCUCUGUCUUGGUUGACUUACUUUUAAAAUGUGAAUAUAUGUAAAUAUUAUGUUUGUAUGAUGAUGGUCGGUAACCCCCGUUUAUUUAUAGGUAACCAUGAUUGAUCUUUCAACUUGUCAUGAAACUUGAGUAAGGCACUGAAAAAAAUUGAUCACCAUUUUGAAGCUUGAUAGGUGCAUAUAUGAAAGAAUAUGGCAUUAGUCUCUAACUCAUAAACAAAGAC